rnacentral:rRNA from 1 species
UACGUAGGGUGCAAGCGUUAAUCGGAAUUACUGGGCGUAAAGCGUGCGCAGGCGGUGAUGUAAGACAGAUGUGAAAUCCCCGGGCUCAACCUGGGAACUGCAUUUGUGACUGCAUCGCUGGAGUGCGGCAGAGGGGGGAUGGAAUUCCGCGUGUAGCAGUGAAAUGCGUAGAUAGUGCGGAGACACCGAUGGCGAAGGCAAUCCCCUGGGCCUGCACUGACGCUCAUGCACGAAAGCGUGGGGAGCAAACAGG